rnacentral:rRNA from 1 species
AAUGAACGCUGGCGGCAGGCCUAACACAUGCAAGUCGAACGGAUCCUUCGGGAUUAGUGGCGGACGGGUGAGUAACGCGUGGGAACAUACCCUUUGGUACGGAAUAGCCUCGGGAAACUGGGAGCAAUACCGUAUGUGGUCGAGAGACGAAAGAUUUAUCGCCAAAGGAUUGGCCCGCGUUGGAUUAGGUAGUUGGUGGGGUAAUGGCCUACCAAGCCGACGAUCCAUAGCUGGUUUGAGAGGAUGAUCAGCCACACUGGGACUGAGACACGGCCCAGACUCCUACGGGAGGCAGCAGUGGGGAAUCUUAGAAAAUGGGGGAAACCCUGAUCUAGCCAUGCCGCGUGAUCGAUGAAGGCCUUAGGGUUGUAAAGAUCUUUCAGGUGGGAAGAUAAUGACUGUACCACCAGAAGAAGCCCCGGCUAACUCCGUGCCAGCAGCCGCCGUAAAAC